rnacentral:rRNA from 1 species
UACGGGGGGGGCAAGCGUUGUUCGGAAUUACUGGGCGUAAAGGGCUCGUAGGCGGCCAACUAAGUCAGACGUGAAAUCCCCAGGCUCAACCUGGGAACUGCGUCUGAUACUGGAUGGCUUGAAUCCGGGAGAGGGAUGCAGAAUUCCAGGUGUAGCGGUGAAAUGCGUAGAUAUGACCCGGAACACCAAUUGCGAAGGCAGCAGGCUAAACAAAGAUUGACGCUGAGGCUCGAAAGCGUGGGGAUCAAACAGG